rnacentral:rRNA from 1 species
ACUCAAAUGAAUUGACGGGGGCCCGCACAAGCAGUGGAGUAUGUGGUUUAAUUCGAAGCAACGCGAAGAACCUUACCAGGUCUUGACAUCCUGAGAAUCCCUCAGAGACGAGGGAGUGCCCUUGGGAACUCAGAGACAGGUGGUGCAUGGUUGUCGUCAGCUCGUGUCGUGAGAUGUUGGGUUAAGUCCCGCAACGAGCGCAACCCUUGCCGAUAGUUACUACGAGAAGAGGACUCUAUCGGGACCGCUAUCGAGAAGAUGGAGGAAGGUGGGGACGACGUCAAAUCAUCAUGCCCUUUAUGACCUGGGCUACACACGUACUACAAUGGCCGUUAACAACGGGAAGCAAUAUAGUGAUAUGGAGCAAAACCCCAAAAACGGUCUCAGUUCGGAUUGCAGGCUGCAACCCGCCUGUAUGAAGUCGGAAUUGCUAGUAAUCGCGGAUCAGCAUGCCGCGGUGAAUACGUUCCCGGGCCUUGUACACACCGCCCGU